ACCUGUCACCUUGCUUCCUUGAGCUUCUGGCAAAGAUAAGUAUAUAGGGGUGUAUAUAAAAAAAUUACCCCUCUCUGUCUCAUUAGAAAUAUCUUUGCCAGAACCUCAAGGAAGCAAGGUGACAGGU